UAGUGGCGAACGGGUGAGUAACACGUGGGCAAUCUGCCCUGCACUCUGGGACAAGCCCUGGAAACGGGGUCUAAUACCGGAUAAUACUGUGCCCCUCAUGGGGGACGGUUAAAAGCUCCGGCGGUGCAGGAUGAGCCCGCGGCCUAUCAGCUUGUUGGUGGGGUAAUGGCCUACCAAGGCCGACGACGGGUAGCCGGCCUGAGAGGGCGACCGGCCACACUGGGACUGAGACACGGCCCAGACUCCUACGGGAGGCAGCAGUGGGGAAUAUUGCACAAUGGGCGAAAGCCUGAUGCAGCGACGCCGCGUGAGGGAUGACGGCCUUCGGGUUGUAAACCUCUUUCAGCAGGGAAGAAGCGAAAGUGACGGUACCUGCAGAAGAAGCGCCGGCUAACUACGUGCCAGCAGCCGGGGUAAUACGUAGGGCGCAAGCGUUGUCCGGAAUUAUUGGGCGUAAAGAGCUCGUAGGCGGUU
rnacentral:rRNA from 1 species